ACAUAAACACGGGGCGCCGGUGAGAAACACCCUUGGAACCUGACCCGGAUAAUACCGGCGUAGGGAAGCGUCUUUAAUUGAAGU
rnacentral:ncRNA from 1 species